rnacentral:misc_RNA from 1 species
GAUGAAGAACGUAGCGAAACGCGAAAGGUAAUGCGAAUUGCAGAAUCAGUGAGUCAUCGAAUCUUUGAACGCACAUUGCGCCCGGCAGUAAUCUGCCGGGCAUGCCUGUCCGAGCGUCAUUUCUCCCCUCGAGCGCAGCUUUCCCCCCCGGGGGAGGGCCGCGCCCGGUGUUGGGGCGCUACGGAGGAGCCCAGCGCUCCCCCGUAGGCCCCGAAAUGUAGUGGCGGUCCCGCCGCGGCGCCCCCUGCGUAGUAGUUUUACAACUCGCAUCGGGUCCCGGCGGAGGCCAGCCGUCAAACCCCCCAACUUCAAUAGUUUGACCUCGGAUCAGGUAGGGUUACCCGCUGAACUUAAGCAUAUCAAUAAGCGGAGGA